rnacentral:rRNA from 1 species
UACGGAGGGUGCGAGCGUUGUCCGGAAUCAUUGGGCGUAAAGGGCGCGUAGGUGGCCACUUCAAGCGUGCGGUGAAAGUCGGGGGCUCAACCCCUGAUCGGCCGUGCGAACUGGGGGGCUGGAGCACUGUAGAGGCAGGCGGAAUUCCGGGUGUAGCGGUGGAAUGCGUAGAGAGUCCGGAAGAACACCGGUGGCGAAGGCGGCCUGCUGGGCAGUUUUGCUGACACUGAGACGCGACAGCGUGGGGAGCAAACAGG